rnacentral:lncRNA from 1 species
CUAAGGAUAGCAAUAGUGAAAAAAUCAAAGAAGUUAAGAGGAUUAUUUGGGAAAGAACCUGACAAUUAUAUAUACAUUGCAAAGGCAGGGAUUUAGUUUUAGGAUGAUGGAGUUUUGUUGAGUUAAUACCUUAAAACUUUCACCAUCUUUGAUUUGCAGGACCAACCGACGGGUUGUCUUAUUUUCUGCUGGUCCCAUGGUUACUCUUGACCCUUGUCUUGGUUCUGUGGUAACAAGUUCACAAGUAGAGCCAUCUGGCUUAUUUAUUGAUUCAUUCAAGAGGACAAUUACAGCUAUUGCUUGUGAAAAUUUUGAGAUUCAAGCGAAAGAAUAUCAAAAACAUCGAUUCAAUUGAUGACCAUGAGAAAGCUCUAUCUAAGAUUCAAACAUAAAGGCUACCUUCAUGUUGACACCCGAUGCCAAAGUCUUCCUUGCCAAAUGCUGUAACAUCAGAUCAAAUUGUCAAUACUCCAGGAAUUGGACCAGGGCCGUUUACAGGUUUUGUUCAUUGUCUCAGGAUGUUUGCUAGAGAAUUUUCCAGCAUCACUUGCCAUUUCACUAACAUGCUGAAGCCUCUUGCUGUUCCAGUUUAAUAGGAAUUAUCAAUAUUGACUAAAGUAUAGAUGAGAAAAAUAAAGAAAGAACAAAUCUAGUAAGACGCUAAAGCAUGAUAACAUUGAGAAAACAUAUAUAUACUAGAUUUCUUAAAGGAAAAAAAGGUUAUUAUUCUAUUGGGUUUCGCCGACCCCAGUACAAGAAAUGGGGUAUUUGACAUUGAUGAACCCUUCACGAGUGGAAUAAUCAUAAUCAAUGUCUACUUGAUCAUGUCUUACAUGCAAUAAUAUCAACAAGAUGAUCACGAUGGUCCUUAUAUGAUCUGUUGAUAAAAUAUUUAAUUUUUAAUUU